rnacentral:tRNA from 1 species
AGCCCUUUAGUCUAAUGGUAAGACACUUAUCUCCAUCAUAAGGAUUAUUGGUUCGAUUCCAGUAAGGGCUC